GAUGAACGCUAGCGACAGGCCUAACACAUGCAAGUCGAGGGGUAGGGUAGCAAUACCCGAGACCGGCGCACGGGUGCGUAACGCGUAAGUAACCUGCCUUACACAGGGGGAUAGCCUUCCGAAAGGGAGAUUAAUACCCCAUAACAUUAUCUUCCCGCAUGGGGAGUUACUUAAAGCUACGGUGGUGUAAGAUGGGCAUGCGUAUGAUUAGCUAGUUGGGGGGGUAACGGCCCACCAAGGCGACGAUCAUUAGGGGUUCUGAGAGGAAGAUCCCCCACCCUGGUACUGGGACACGGACCAGACUCCUACGGGAGGCAGCAGUGAGGAAUAUUGGUCAAUGGGCGAGAGCCUGAAACAGCCAUGUCGCGUGCAGGAUGACUGCCCUAUGGGUUGUAAACUGCUUUUGUAUGGGAAGAAACGACGGUACGCGUACUGUUUUGCCGGUACCAUACGAAUAAGGAUCGGCUAACUCCGUGCCAGCCGCCGCCGUAACAC
rnacentral:rRNA from 1 species